AAAAAAGCAGGGGCCUCUUGCCUCUCUGAAUUGGCCUCUCGUAGACUUCAGGGAAAUCAGUUCACAUCGUUCUUGGGUGAACCUCUGUUUUUGGUUUAUUGUUGGCUGAAGGUUCAAUAAAUGAUGGCACAUUU